rnacentral:rRNA from 1 species
GAGUGAGCGGCAAAAGCUCAAAUUUGAAAUCUGGCACCUUCGGUGUCCGAGUUGUAAUUUGAAGAUUGUAACCUUGGGGUUGGCUCUUGUCUAUGUUUCUUGGAACAGGACGUCACAGAGGGUGAGAAUCCCGUGCGAUGAGAUGCCCAAUCCUAUGUAAGGUGCUUUCGAAGAGUCGAGUUGUUUGGGAAUGCAGCUCUAAGUGGGUGGUAAAUUCCAUCUAAAGCUAAAUAUUGGCGAGAGACCGAUAGCGAACAAGUACAGUGAUGGAAAGAUGAAAAGAACUUUGAAAAGAGAGUGAAAAAGUACGUGAAAUUGUUGAAAGGGAAGGGUUUGAGAUCAGACUCGAUAUUUUGUGAGCCUUGCCUUCGUGGCGGGGUGACCCGCAGCUUAUCGGGCCAGCAUCGGUUUGGGCGGUAGGAUAAUGGCGUAGGAAUGUGACUUUACUUCGGUGAAGUGUUAUAGCCUGCGUUGAUGCUGCCUGCCUAGACCGAGGACUGCGAUUUUAUCAAGGAUGCUGGCAUAAUGAUCCCAAACCGCCCGUCUUGAAACACGGACCAAAA